GGCACGAACGUAGAGGUCAGGCUAGGGCUGACGAUGCUGGCUAAGCGGGGGCGCACGUCUAGGAAGUCGUCGUCGUAGUCACCGAUGUCCGUGACCUUCCAGAGCCUCUGGUAACCACUGUUCUACUCAAUACUUCUAUGAGGUGAACUUCUUUGGAUUCCACAUAUGAUCAGGAUCAUGAGGAAGGAGGAGCAAGUCUUCUUUGUCAUGCUAUUAAGAAAAUACCCAGAGUCACAGCACCAUGAUCUCCUUGUGAAGCAGAACAAGUAAUAUAAAACUGAUCUAAAGAGGCCUCCCGUCUA
rnacentral:antisense_RNA from 1 species